rnacentral:rRNA from 1 species
CCUACGGGCGGCAGCAGUGGGGGAUAUUGCACAAUGGGGGAAACCCUGAUGCAGCGACGCCGCGUGUGGGAAGACGGUCCUCUGGAUUGUAAACCACUGUUCCCAGGGACGAAGAUGACGGUACCUGGGGAGGAAGCUCCGGCUAACUACGUGCCAGCAGCCGCGGUAAUACGUAGGGAGCAAGCGUUGUCCGGAAUUACUGGGUGUAAAGGGAGCGUAGGCGGGAUGGCAAGUUGGGUGUUAAAUCUACCGGCUAAACUGGUAGGCGCACUCAAAACUGCUAUUCUUGAGUGAAGUAGAGGCAGGCGGAAGUCCUGGUGUAGCGGUGAAAUGCGUAGAUAUUAGGAGGAACACCAGUGGCGAAGGCGGCCUGCUAGGCUUUUACUGACGCUGAGGCUCGAAAGUGUGGGGAGCAAACAGGAUUAGAUACCCGAGUAGUC